CGGGACGGGUGAGUAACGCGUGGAUAACCUGCCUCACACUGGGGGAUAACAGUUAGAAAUGGCUGCUAAUACCGCAUAAGCGCACAGUACCGCAUGGUACGGUGUGAAAAACCCAGGUGGUGUGAGAUGGAUCCGCGGCUGAUUAGCCAGUUGGCGGGGUAACGGCCCACCAAAGCGACGAUCAGUAGCCGACCUGAGAGGGUGACCGGCCACAUUGGGACUGAGACACGGCCCAA
rnacentral:rRNA from 1 species